rnacentral:lncRNA from 14 species
AUGGCGGGCAAGGAGGAGGAUACCAGGGCGGGAGGGCAAGGCGGGCAGCAAGGCGGGCUGCAGCCCUGCGUCAGCGCCCGCGGGCACCUACUCGCCCGAGCAGCUGCAGGCGCUGCCCUACGGCGUGCAGCCCGAGGGACAGGCGGGGGGCUACGGGCCGCCCGCCCCCUCGCAGGGUUUGCCCACGGCCAGCCCCUCGCUGAGCUACAGCACCACCGGGCACUUCGCCCGCCAUGCCCGGACGCCGCCGCUGCCCCUCACGCUGGCCUGGCGGCUCCAGCCCUCGCCCAUCAUCCGCCCGCUGCAGUCGCCGCCGGCCGCCCGGCCGCAGAGCGGAGCCUCGCCGGGACAGUCGCAGAAGUACCUGGGCUCCGUGCUGUCGCCGUCCUUCAUGGCCCCGCAGGGCUACGGCGCCGCUCCUCCGGGCGGGGGCCCGAGGCAGCCGCCCCUGCCCGCCGGGCGCCCAGGCUUCGGCAAAGGGGCCAAAGGCGACGCGGAGCUGCUGGCGGCGGAGCGCAGCGAGGACGAGGAUUUCCUGAUCCAGCACCUGCUGCAGGCGCCCAGCCCGCCCCGAGAGGGGCUGGGGGGCUGCGAGGAGCGCCCCAAAACCUUGGGGGGCUACGGCGGGGCGCUGGGCAAGGAGGAGCGGUACCAGCUGCAGAGCGUCAUCCGGCCCAACUCCAACCUGGAGGCGCCGCUGGAGCUGGCGCUGCUCAAGGAGAAGAAGAAGCCGGAGAGAGGCAAAGAAUUCCGGGGGGCCAGCGGAGCAGCAGCAGGAGGAGGAGGCGGCGAGGUGGCGGCCACCUCGGUGGUGCACUACGGCCACCAAGCGCCGCCCUCGAUGGAAACGUACGAGCUGAAGAAACCGCCCGAGCACCUGGCCGGGGGCAAGGAGCUGGGCCAGCCGCCGCCUCCGCACUCGUACCUGCCCAAAACCCCCGAGCACGGGCGGCUGGUGGGCGAGGGAACCCCGCUGGAGCCGCACAACCUCCUGCUGGACCCUUCUCCGGAGCUGGGGGGCUCUCUGCUGCCCUCGGUGCUCACGCACACGCAGAGCCAGCUGCACCCGCGGCCCAAGGGCAGAGCGCCGCUGGACGUUCACCUGCUGGAGCAGCAGAGGAUGCCGCCCCCUCCGCCGCCCCCUCCGCCGCCCCCCGCUCCUCCCUCGGCCCCGCCGGCCCCUCCGGCCGCCCCCUCCCCGCAGCUGCUGCUCGAAGCUCACCUGCACCAGGUGCGCUCGCAAGGCCUGGACCCCCAGGCCCCGCCGCCGCUGCCCCCCGACUCCAUGGAGGUGUUGCCCCCUCCCCAAGAAAUCCAGGACUUCUUGGAGCCCCCCCUGGGUUUGGAACCGCACCUGGGGCAGAGCGCGGGGGUGCAGGGACCGCCCGGGCACCUGCUGGACCCCGAGGCGGGGGUCCCGGCCGUGCCCCCCGAGGCCAAGGAUCAGUUUUCAGAAGGGGGGAGCCCCGCUGGGGGCAAGGGGCGUUUCGUGCCGCUCACGUCCAUCUGCUUCCCGGACGCUCUGCUGCAGGACGAGGAUCGCGGCUUCUUCCCCGGCAUGGAGGACAUGUUCGGACCCCCGCCCGAGGAUUUCCCCAAGGCCAGCGAGGAGGAGGAGGAGGAAGGCAACGCCAACGCGGCCGGGCUGGAGGCGGCGCGGCCCGAGGCGAUGAAAGCGCCCCCUCCUUACGAUAUGGGGCAGAGCUACCCCUCGUUCUGCCCGCAGGACGGGGGCGCCGCCGGGGACCCCCCCCAGCUGGGGCUGGAGCCCCCCAAACACGAGCUGCCCUCCACGGUGAACGCAGAACCGCUGGGCUUGAUCCAGAGCACGGGCGACGGCGGUCCCAAACCCCCCCCUCCUCCUCUGAGCACCCCUUUAUUCUGCUCCUCCAAACCCAAAAAGCUGCUGAAAACUUCCUCCUUCCACCUGCUCCGCAAGCGGGACCCCUUCCCGCCGCCCAAAAAAACCUACGCGCAGGAGUACGAGUUCGAGGACGACGAGGAUAA